rnacentral:rRNA from 1 species
GUAGGUGGCAAGCGUUGUCCGGAAUUAUUGGGCGUAAAGCGCGCGCAGGCGGUUCGUUUAAGUCUGAUGUGAAAGCCCACGGGCUCAACCUGGAGGGUCAUUGGAAACUGGAGAACUUGAGUACAGAAGAGGAAAGCGGAAUUCCACGUGUAGCGGUGAAAUGCGUAGAGAUGUGGAGGAACACCAGUGGCGAAGGCGGCUUUCUGGUCUGUAACUGACGCUGAGGCGCGAAAGCGUGGGGAGCAAACAGGAUUAGAUACCCUGGUAGUCCACGCCGUAAACGAUGAGUGCUAAGUGUUAGGGGGGUUUCCGCCCCCUUAGUGCUGCAGCUAACGCAUUAAGCACUCCGCCUGGGGAGUACGGCCGCAAGGCUG